UCCCAACCAAUCUCUCUCUUAGUUUUCUCUCUUCUCCCAUUUGAGAAUUCUUAAGGAAUUCUAUUUGUUUGUAAUACUUUGGAGAUAGUAAAGUUAUCAUCUGGUGUUAGUGCCCGAGGACGUAGGUAUAAUUUACCGAACCUCGUUAAAACUCUUGUGUUCUUUCUUGUCCUAUUUUUCUUUCAAUAUUUGAGGGUAUAAUAGUAGUAUUUAAUUGUGCUAUUAAAUUACUAUAGAAGAGAUAUUCUGUCUAAGGAAAGACUUGGUAUUUAAGAGAUCCAUGUGAUCCACCUCUCUUUCCUGGGAAUUGAACUUUGUGUGAUUUUUUAGUACAAUAAUUUACACGCUUCCAACCCUAUUAGAACAACAAGUGGUAUCAGAGCCGAAGGUUAAUCGUAGUAUGCUCUAUGGUUACAGUUUGAACUGAUCUUCUACAUCAGAAAAGAUUUCCUUAGGUAUAUUGAAAGAUUAUGGAGAAAACGGUCGGUGUAGGAGCUUCAACAUCGUCCAUGUGGACAAGACCGACAAUUGCAAAUGCAAGAUUGGCCGUGGAGAUCUUUGAUGGCACGGGCCAUUUUGGUAUGUGGCAAAGUGAGGUUCUAGAUGCCCUUUUUCAGCAGGGUCUAGACAUUGCCAUUGAUGAAGAGAAACCAGAUGAUGUACAGGAGAAAGAUUGGAAGGCGAUCAAUCGGUUGGCAUGUGGCACAAUUUGAUCAUGCCUUUCUCGACAGCAGAGGUAUGCUUUUUCAAAGGAGACUUCUGCAAAUAAGUUGUGGGUGGCACUUGAAGAAAAUUUUUUGAAGAAAAACAGUCAAAAUAAGCUCCACUUGAAGAAAAGACUGUUUCGCUUCACAUACGUCCCAAUUACCACAAUGAAUGAUCACAUCACCAAAUUUAAUCAGUUAGUCACUGAUUUGCUGAAUAUGGAUGAGACAUUCAAAGAUGAAGAUUUGGCUUUGAUGCUGUUGGGGUCACUUCCUGAGGAGUUUGAGUUCCUAGAAACUACUCUACUUCAUGGCAUAAGUGAUAUAUCUCUGAGCGAAGUCUGUGCGGCCUUAUACAGUUAUGAACAGAGAAAGAAGGACAAACAGAAAAACUCAAUCAGAGAUACAGAAGCUUUAGUAGUCCGAGGUCGUUCAUACACUCGGAAGAAAACUCAAAAGGGGAGAUCAAAGUCAAAGUCCAGACUCAGGAAAGAUGAAUGUGCUUUUUGUCAUGAGAAAGGCCACUGGAAGAAAAAUUGUCCAAAGCUGAAGAAUAAGGGAAAAGAUGCUGUAGAUGCUUGUGUUGCUAAGCAUGAUACUAGUGACUCUGAACUAUCACUGGUUGUAUCAUCAUCGUCGUUCCAUUCAGAUGAGUGGAUAUUGGAUUCGGGUUGUACCUAUCAUAUGUCCCCUAACCGGGAGUGGUUCUCUGAUUUAGUAGAACUAAAUGGAGGAGUUGUUUAUAUGGGCAAUGACAAUGCCGUAAAACUGUUGGGAUAGGUUCAAUCCAAUUAAAGAAUCAAGAUGGAUCAACCAGAGUUCUGACUGAUGUUCGGUACGUGCCCAGUUUGAAGAAAAAUCUCAUCUCAUUGGGAGCCUUGGAAUCCAAUGGUUCAGUUGUUACUAUGAGAGAUGGGAUUUUGAAAGUGACAUCUGGCGCACUUGUGAUAUUGAAGGGCAUCAGGAAAAAUAACUUGUAUUACUACCAAAGUAGUACAGUUAUUGGAGCAGUCGCUGCAGCUUCCGGUAACAAAGACUUGGACUCAAUGCAGUUGUGGCAUAUGAAGUUGGGACAUGCCAGCGAAAAAUCCUUGCAAAUUCUGGCAAAGCAAGGAUUGUUGAAAGGUGCAAAGGCUUGCAAAUUAAAAUUUUAUGAGCACUGUGUUCUGGGAAAGCAAAAGAGAGUGAAAUUCGGCACUGCUAUCCACAAUACAAAAGGUAUUUUGGAAUAUAUUCACUCAGAUGUGUGGGGGCCUUCCAAAACACCUUCGUUGGGAGGAAAACACUACUUUGUUACUUUUGUUGAUGACUUUUCCAGAAGAGUUUGGGUGUAUACCAUGAAAACUAAAGAUGAAGUGCUUGGAGUUUUUCUUAAAUGGAAAACUAUGAUCGAAAACCAGACUGGCAAGAAAAUCAAGUGGCUUAGGACGGACAAUGGAGGGGAAUAUAAAAGUGAUUCGUUCUUCGAUGUGUGCCAAGAGUAUGGUAUUGUUCGACACUUCACAGUUAGGGAUACACCACAACAGAAUGGAGUGGCAGAGCGUAUGAAUCGAACAUUACUGGAGAAAGUUCGAUGUAUGUUGUCCAAUGCUGGGUUAGGCAAGCAAUUUUGGGCUGAGGCUGUGACAUACGCUGGCCAUCUUGUUAAUCGUUUGCCAUCAUCUGCAUUAGAAAGAAAAACUCUUAUGGAGGUAUGGUCUGGAAAACCGGCUACAGAUUAUGAUUCCUUACAUGUGUUUGGAACCACUGCAUAUUACCAUGUGAAGGAAUCAAAGUUAGAUCCGAGGGAAAAGAAAGCUCUCUUUAUGGGAAUCACUUCUGGAGUGAAGGGAUUUCGUCUUUGGUGCUUAAGCACAAAGAAAAUGAUCUGUAGCAGAGAUGUUACCUUUGAUGAAUCUGCCACAUUGAAAAAGGUAGCAGAUAAAGAUAUUCAGACGAGCAAUACUCCACAGCAGGUGGAGUGUACUCCAAAACAGGUGGAGUUUGAGCAGAUGGGGAUUUGCCCAGUUAAUAAGUCUAAUUCUCCAGCCACAAUGGAGGAAUUAGAGGUUGAAGAGGUUCUGACCCAAGAACCACUAAGUACACCAGAACCAGUUGCAGUUGCAAGGCCACGGAGAGAAAUUCGUAAACCUACUCGAUUUACUGAUAUGGUGGCCUACGCCAUUCCCGUUGUUGAUGAUAUUCCUAUCACUUAUCAAGAAGCAAUGCAAAGCUUAGAAAGUGAUAAAUGGAAAAGCGCCAUGGAUGAAGAAAUGCAGUCUCUCCGGAAGAACAAUACUUGGGAGUUGGCGCAAUUACCAAAAGGUAAAAGGGCAAUCGGAUACAAGUGGGUAUUCGCAAAGAAAGAUGGAUCUCCUAGCAAGAAGGAUAUUCGCUACAAGGCAAGAUUGGUAGCUAAAGGCUACGCUCAGAAGGAGGGAAUUGACUACAAUGAUGUAUUUUCCCUGUUGUGAAGCAUUUCUCCAUUAGAAUUUUGUUGGCCUUGGUAGCACAGUUGAAUUUGGAGCUAGCUCAACUUGAUGUUAAGACAGCUUUCUUGCAUGGUGAGUUAGAAGAGGAGAUCUAUAUGACUCAGCUCGAAGGAUACACAGAUGCUGGUGGUAGAAAUUGGGUUUGUAAGCUGAACAAAUCGCUAUAUGGAUUGAAGCAAUCCCCGAGGCAGUGGUACAAGCGAUUUGAUAGCUUUAUGAGAAGGCAGAAGUACACAAGAAGUAAAUAUGACAAUUGUGUAUAUUUGCAGAAGCUGCAUGACGGAUCUUUCAUUUAUCUACUCUUGUAUGUUGAUGAUAUGUUAAUCGCUUCGAAGAGGCAAAAUGAGAUAGAUAAGCUGAAGGCUCAGUUGAAUCAAGAGUUCGAGAUGAAAGAUCUAGGUGAGGCUAAGAAGAUUCUCGGCAUGGAGAUAAGUAGAGAUAGACCGAGAGGCAAGCUCUGUUUAAAUCAGAAGCAAUAUCUGAAAAAGGUAUUACAAUGUUUUGGUGUAAAUGAAAACACAAAACAUGUAAGUACCCCACUUGCUUCUCAUUUGAAACUUAGUGCUCAAUUAUCUCCGAAAACUGAAGAAGAAAGAGAAUAUAUGAAGAAAGUCCCAUAUGCUAAUGCAGUUGGGAGUUUGAUGUAUGCGAUGGUGUGUACGAGGCCUGACAUUUCACAAGCUGUUGGAGUUGUGAGCAGGUAUAUGCAUGAUCCUAGAAAAGGACAUUGGCAAGCUGUGAAAUGGAUUCUACGGUAUCUUUGAAAAACCGUAGAUGUUGGUUUAAUUUUUGAACAAGAUGAAGCACUUGGUCAGUUUGUAGUUGGAUAUGUUGAUUCCGACUUUGCUGGUGAUUUAGAUAAACGUCGUUCAACUACGGGGUAUCUGUUUACUCUUGCGAAAGCCCCAGUGAGUUGGAAGUCUACCUUACAGUCUACAGUAGCUGUGUCUACUACAGAGGCAGAAUAUAUGGCAGUUACAGAAGCUGUUAAGGAGGCUAUUUGGCUUAAUGGAUUGUUGAAAGACUUAGGAGUUGUUCAAAGUCACAUAAGUUUAUAUUGUGACAGUCAGAGCGCUAUUCAUUUAGCGAAAAAUUAAGUCUAUCAUUCAAGAACCAAGCAUAUCGACGUAAGAUAUCACUUUGUGCGGGAAGUCUUUGAAAAAGGAAAAAUUCUACUUCAGAAGAUUCCGACAGCAGAUAAUCCCGCAGAUAUGAUGACCAAGGUGGUAACAACAAUCAAGUUUAAUCAUUGUUUGAACUUGAUUAACAUCCUGAGAAUUUGAGCACCUUCAGGUGUAUGGCGCUCGAGAGUGCAUUUGUAGGCACUACAAAAGAUAGCUUUAUCGAAUUUGGGGAGUUGAAGGAAGUGUGUGAAGAUGUGAUUAUCCUAAUCAAAUCUUCAAGGUGGAGAUUGUUAACAUUAAUGGGAGACAAUAUUAAUGGCAAACAAUACAAAGUGGUGCAAGUUUAGCACCCUAAAGUUGACUUUGAAAAAGUGGCAUGGGAUAAUUUUUUUUUGGUCCUUGAGAUAAUGGGCUAUUUAUUGUUUGGUCCUUAAACCUCAACUAUAAAUAGGCCUUCUCAUUUCUCAUUUCAAUUCAUCCCAACUAAUCUUUCUCUCUUAGUUUUCUCUCUUCUCCCAUUUGAGAAUUCUUAAGGAAUUCUAUUUGUUUGUAAUACUUUGGAGAUAGUAAAGUUAUCAUCUGGUGUUAGUGCUCGAGGACGUAGGUAUAAUUUACCGAACCUCGUUAAAACUCUUGUGUUCUUUCUUGUCCUAUUUUUCUUUCAAUAUUUGAGGGUAUAAUAGUAGUAUUUAAUUGUGCUAUUAAAUUACUAUAGAAGGGAUAUUCUGUCUAAGGAAAGACUUGGUAUUUAAGAGAUCCAUGUGACCCACCUCUCUUUCCUGGGAAUUGAACUUUGUGUGAUUUUUUAGUACAAUAAUUUACAUGCUUCCGACCCUAUUGGAACAACAGUUGAGAUGUUGGACUACCUAAUGUAUGUGCUUCAUAUAUAUUUACAUAGAUCAAAUUCUGCUAUUAGUUUGUAUUUUAUUUAAGUUGUAGAUUUAUUACAUGUAGUUUGAUUUGGUUAUUUUCACGUGAAAAUUUUAGUCUUAACCAAAUGAUAAAUAUUAAAUUUAUUAUGUUAUGUUAUGUUAUUUUUUAAAAUUUGAUGUGUCAAAUAUAUUAUCACAUGUGUAAUGUUAUGUUUGUUAAUGAUUUUCACAUAUUACUUACAAAAAAUUAGUUAAUAGAUUUAAUGACUUUCGUUUGCAUUAA
rnacentral:lncRNA from 1 species